rnacentral:rRNA from 1 species
UACGAAGGGGGCUAGCGUUGUUCGGAAUCACUGGGCGUAAAGCGCGUGUAGGCGGUCUCUUAAGUCUGGUGUGAAAGCCCGGGGCUUACCCCCGGAAGGGCACUGGAGACUGGGAGACUCGAGUACCGGAGAGGAAGGUGGAAUUCCUGGUGUAGCGGUGAAAUGCGUAGAUAUCAGGAGGAACACCGGUGGCGAAGGCGGCCUUCUGGACGGCUACUGACGCUGAGACGCGAAAGUGUGGGGAUCAAACAGG